rnacentral:rRNA from 1 species
GGAGUUUGGACCGUGUCUCAGUUCCAAUGUGGCCGAUCACCCUCUCAGGUCGGCUACCGAUCGUCGACUUGGUGGGCCGUUACCUCACCAACUAUCUAAUCGGACGCGAGCUCACCCCAUACCGGAUCGCUCCUUUGACCCCUGUGCCAUGCAGCACUGUGGUCUUAUGCGGUAUUAGCACCUGUUUCCAAGUGUUAUCCCCCUGUAUGGGACAGAUCGCUCACGCGUUACUCACCCGUCCGCCACUCGAAUAGCUUCUUCCAUCCCGAAGGACUUCCAACGCUAUCCUCGUUCGACUUGCAUGUGUUAAGCACGCCGCCAGCGUUCGUCCUCGAGCCACGGAUCAAACUACU